rnacentral:rRNA from 1 species
UAGGGAAUCUUCGGCAAUGGACGAAAGUCUGACCGAGCAACGCCGCGUGAGUGAAUAAAGUUUUCGGAUCGUAAAACUCUGUUGUUAGAGAAGAACAAGGACGUUAGUAACUGAACGUCCCCUUACUGUAUCUAACCAGAAAGCCACGGCUAACUACGUUCCAGCAGCCGCCGUAAUACGUAGGUGGCAAGCGUUGUCCGGAUUUAUUGGGCGUAAAGCGAGCGCAGGCGGUUUCUUAAGUCUGAUGUGAAAGACCCCGGCUAAAGCGGGGAGGGUAAUUGGAAACUGGGAGACAUGAGUGCAGAAGAGGAGAGUGGAAUUCCAUGUGUAGCGGUGAAAAGCGUAGAUAUAUGGAGGAACACCAGUGGAGAAGGCGGCUCACUGGUAUGUAACUGACGCUGAGGAUAGAAAGCGUGGGGAGCAAACAGG